rnacentral:rRNA from 1 species
ACGCUCGACACCUACGGGAGGCAGCAGUGGGGAAUAUUGGGCAAUGGGCGCAAGCCUGACCCAGCAACGCCGCGUGAAGGAAGAAGGCCCUCGGGUUGUAAACUUCUUUUAACAGGGACGAAGUAAGUGACGGUACCUGUUGAAUAAGCCACGGCUAACUACGUGCUAGCAGCCGCGGUAAUCUGAGCGGGCUGGCAAGGC